rnacentral:rRNA from 1 species
GGCUCAGAACGAACGCUGGCGGCGUGCUUAACACAUGCAAGUCGAACGGGAAACGUUCCUUCGGGAACCGAGUACAGUGGCGCACGGGUGAGUAACACGUAGGUGACCUACCUAUCGCUGGGGAACAACCCCGGGAAACCGGAGCUAAUUCCGCAUACGCUUUCCAACUCGCGGGUUGGAAAGGAAAGAUGGCCUCUUCAUGAAAGCUAUCGGCGAAUGAUGGGCCUGCGCGUCAUUAGCUUGUUGGUGAGGUAACGGCUCACCAAGGCUGCGAUGACUAGCUGGUCUGAGAGGAUGAUCAGCCACACUGGCACUGGAACACGGGCCAGACUCCUACGGGAGGCAGCAGUGGGGAAUAUUGCGCAAUGGGCGAAAGCCUGACGCAGCAACGCCGCGUGAGUGACGAAGGCCUUCGGGUCGUAAAGCUCUGUCGAGAGGGACGAAACACCGGUGGGAACAAUACCUCGCCGGUUUGACGGUACCUCCAAAGGAAGCACCGGCUAACUCCGUGCCAGCAGCCGCGGUAAUACGGAGGGUGCAAGCGUUGUUCGGAAUUACUGGGCGUAAAGGGCGUGUAGGCGGAUCAAGAAGUCGGGUGUGAAAGCCCUGGGCUCAACCCAGGAAGUGCGCCCGAAACCAUUGGUCUUGAGUUCCAGAGGGGAGCGGGGAAUUCCCAGUGUAGAGGUGAAAUUCGUAGAUCUUGGGAAGAACACCGGUGCCGAAGGGGCCGCUCUGGAUGGAUACUGACGCUGAGGCGCGAAAGCGUGGGGAGCAAACAGGAUUAGAUACCCUGGUAGUCCAC